UUUUGUUAAAGUUUGGCUUUUUACUCUACUGCACAUGCGCAAACGGCACAAAGACAGAAGAAGGAAGAGGAUCACUGCCAGGUACCCCAAGCCGGUGCAAGUUUCUGGAAAUAGCACGGACCAGGGAUAUCAGCAGGAUGACAGGGAAGAUGAAGUGGACAAUUUCCUGCUUUUGAAACACAGGCAAUGAAUUUUACCACUGUCUGAAGUUAUGGGAACAGGUCAGGGGCGACAUUCCUUCUUGGAAAAUUGUGCUUGCAAGAAUAAGCCUUUGGUCGACUAUUGGUCGCCGGAAAGAUCAUUCGCCUCGUGGAUCCACCAUACACGCACUGAAUAUUGUACAAAAUGAGGUUUCAUCACCUAACUUACCUACUUCAUUAAAAUGCAUAGACUUGUUACCCAUAGUCUUCCGAUAUCUGUUCAAAGCAGUGGAGCAGGGAGCUCAGCAGAGGGGUGGGGCAUGGCCCAGGCAAUCAUGGCCAAGAGAUGUUGGGAACACUUUAGAUCUGGAUUGGCAUUUCUAGACUGACUAUGCACCUCUCUCCAUC